rnacentral:lncRNA from 1 species
AUGCUCUGCUCUUGCAGAGGGCCACAGCCAUUACAUGACCUUUUUACUGUGCAGCUGAUCUGUGCUUCCUGGCCCCGUGUCAUCACGGCUCAGCAUCGUGACAUGCUGAAAGAUCAUCACGGUGGAAACAAUGCAGAGCAGCAUUUGGAUGGUGUGGCGGCCUGCCCUGCUUAUUUUGUGUGUGUACCUGAUUUAUUGCACAUCAUAUUUUCUCUUUCCUCCUCUUCCAGCUGCCAGGCACGUAGUUCUCUCUUCUGCCAGUGCCUUGCCUUGUACUUGGAAAAGGGAACAGGGACGCCCUGGGGUGUGGGCAAGAAGGGCAGUUGGUUUUGUGCACCUGGGGAGACCCAGGGAGCCUCAGCUCGUGGGUUACGAUAUAUCCUGCUAUUACAGUCUCCAUGUUUUUCUCCAGAUUGCCUAGAAACUAUUAUCCAGAGCACAACAGAGGACCUCAAGAACUGUCCCUGGAGCUACAAAGAUGUGUUUUAUUAAAGGACUGGACAUUUUAUCUCUGGGUGGAGAUGCAGUUUCUUUUCCCUUUCUCCAGCUGGCUAGCACAAUUUUUGAUAUCCUCGAUGUCUUUUUCUUGUGAAGGCAGUUGUACUAGCAAAAGAGAUUCCAAGAAAAAGCUUAGGACACUUGCUGCUCUGAGAGGAGAAACCUGCCUUGGCAAUUUAAGAGAGGAAGGAAAAGACAAUAGUGAGGGAGUUCUUGAACUGAUAACGCCGACUAUUGAGGUGUUAUUCCUCAACAGACUUUGGGUUCUGAUUUUUUUUUUUUUUUAUGAGGCAAUUUAGUGAGAAGAACGGGGACAAGCUUCAUUUUUGUUUGUUUUCUAAGUGAACAAUGGUGUCCUCCCCCUUGUCUCGAACAAUGGGAAUAUGAUAUAAUAGUUGAUGUUUUGUUAAAACUAUCAGGCUUGCACGUCUGUCCUGAAGAGCUCACCUUUGCCAGGGCUGCCUACAUACGUGUUCACGUGCAUGAGCAUUGCGAGCCUAAACCAUAAAGUGUCCUCCCAGUGUAGGUGAACUCAGCACAGCUCAGACUUUGUUCUCCUGCACUCCAUUUCCUCUUGUCCCAGGACUGCCUGGGGCCUCUCUGAUGCAUUGGCAGGAUGUCCUAUUGCUCUCCCACAUUGCCCUAUUGCUCUCCCACAUUGCCCUCCUCGCUGUCCCCCCUAUCCCAAGGGCUCUUUGCUGCCUUUUCUUGCUUUCCACCCUUUCCAAAGACACAGACUUGCCAUUCCAUUUGCUGUCAGUGCUCCUCCUGUGCCCUCCUGCAACAUCGUCUUUAGUUUGGGCAAAUUUAAGUCAUGGUGUUGAGCAGCUGCCCACCAAAAGAGGCUGCUUCCAGCAGCAUCUUCCUUCACCCUGCCUUACUUUAGCACCACGCUUGUCUAGCCCUUUGGUGAGUCAGUUCAAGAGAAUAGUUUUCUGUUGGAUUAACAAGUUGGAUCGGCUUACCGUGUGGUUUGAUGUGGUGCAAGAGAGGGUGUGGACCAGCAGGGCCAGGAGUCAGGGAGCGAAAAGCAGGACCACCCAAGUCAGAACAGUAAGCUGACUCAGCCGUGUCAUGAAACUUCACCCUUAUUUACUUCGUAUUAUAUAACUUGACCCAUUUCCACUCCGUCCCUAACAGAGGGAAGGCUUUCCAAGUGACCUGUUCGAACUGUAUGGAGAGAAUCAGCGGGCCCAAAUUGCAGGGUGUUGUGAUAUACUAGGACAUGGCAAUGGCUGGCAUUGGCCCAUUCGUCUGUCUGAGGUUGUGGGGAGAGGUGCCUUGUGCUUUUGGCUCUGUGAACAGCAUGCCAAGGACUUUUACAGGUCAUUUUACAGGUUAUCCUUCAGAUUUUAGCAGUUGAGAGGUUCUGUCUGUUGAUUAAAAUAGUUCUUAAGAUUUUAGAACUGAACAAAUAUGGUAUUAAAAAUUGUGAUCCUGAUAAAUACUGAAUAUGUUGGUGCUUCGACAUCUCCUUGUCUCCUCUGCUAACAAGCACAACCCUCGGUGCACAUACUCCAAGUCCAAUAUCAAGGUAGGAAAUUUCAACAUGUUUUAAAGUACUUCCCGAGCAACUUAACUUAUAACAAGAACAGGUAUUUACUAAAACAAGAGUACAGUGGAUGUGUAGUAAUUUAAAUUCAUAUAUUUCUAUGAACAUACGUUGCUCUCCCCCUGCACGAUCUAAAUUGGCACUAUUCAUUUCAUCUCUGUCAAUGGUCAUGGUGCUGUUAGUGACUAGGAAAACAUGACGUUGAAAUUGUGUGUAUUUAUACAAAGUGCUACCUAAAUACCAGGUCCCGGAACAUUAAACUUAACAGGAGUUCCUGCAAACACACGGAUGAAUAUGAAUUAUUAACAUCUUGGGUUUUCUCUUGGAGCAGUAGUGUGUGUUACAGAGCUGUAAUUAGGGCUGGGGCGCGUCUGAGCCUUUCUAUCACGCUGCAUUGUUUUGUCACUGCCAGAAGUAUUACCCCUGAACCUGUUCCUUGCUCACCCAGCUAGCUAAUUAGUGACCUGGAGAUAAGGUGGCAUUUAUUGGUAGUAGAAGAAAUGGCCUUUUAUUUUUAUGCAGAAGCUAAAAACAGGUCAGCAAGCAAUUUGCACGUUCUUCAUCCACCCACAGCGCAAUGGAAGACGAUAAUGCUUAUCUUUGCAGGGGGCAGGUUUCACUUUUUUCCUUACUGUUUUAUCAGGCUUACUUUUUCUCCCUGGCAUUAUUCUUUCUUCUGGUUGUUGGGUUGGUUUAUAUUUUAAGUUUGUUUUGCUUUGUUUUUAAUUUCAGGCUAUGUCCAGUGCUAGGGCCUCGUUUAGGAGUUUUCAUUAAAUGAGAUUCCUAGAAGGGUUCCUCUGAUUACAGUUUCCUCGCUCUAGGAUAUAGAUGGAGAUUGGACUGGAGGGAACAGGCAAAGAAUAGAUAGCAACUAUCCUCACCUAUUUACCAAAUCGUAAGCAUUGUCAAAAUUUGGGUGGGAGGCAAAACACCUCCCUUGUGCAAACAGAGCCUCCAAUAAAAGCCACGUGCUGUGGGCAGGAGUAGUUAAGGGCUUUCAUUUUCAUUUUUUCUUUUAAACAAACAGCAACUUAUCAAUGUGGGAGGCCAAACGUGGCCAGCUCAUAUACACACAAAGGCUUCUGUGUCUGUGGAUAUGCCUGCUCUGCACAUCCAGCCUGCUCCUCACCUUAUUUUAACUAGGGUGACCAUUUCUCCCCUAUUUUAAGCAAUAUUCCUCAUUUCAUAUGUCACGAGUAAAAGAAACGCUAAAUCAUAUCUUUGUAGAGCAACAUUCUGCACUGCAUUUUUUUUUAAUUGAACUUUAUAUUUGAUUUAAAAAUAUCAGCCUCAAGAGACUGAAUCUUUUUCAGAAAAAGCUACAGCAGGAAGCUAAAAAUUCUCGCUCUAUAUUAUCUUAAGACAGCACUGA